ACAACGAAGAGUUUGAUCCUGGCUCAGGACGAACGCUGGCGGCGUGCUUAACACAUGCAAGUCAAGGGGAAAGUCGUCUUCGGAUGGCGAGUAUACUGGCGGACGGGUGAGUAACGCGUAGGCAAUCUGCCCUUAUGAUUGGGAUAACCCCUGGAAACGGGGGCUAAUACCGGAUGUGGUCUGGAUUUUGCAUAAUUUUCAGAUUAAAGAUGGUUCGCUAUCGCAUAAGGAUGAGCCUGCGUCCCAUUAGCUAGUUGGUAGGGUAACG
rnacentral:rRNA from 1 species